ACGAGCGGCGGACGGGUGAGUAAUACUUGGGGAUCUGCCUGAUGGCGGGGGACAACCACUGGAAACGGUGGCUAAUACCGCAUAAUGCCUACGGGCCAAAGUGUGGGACCUUCGGGCCACAUGCCAUCAGAUGAACCCAAGCGAGAUUAGCUAGUUGGUGAGGUAACGGCUCACCAAGGCGACGAUCUCUAGCUGGUCUGAGAGGAUGAUCAGCCACACUGGGACUGAGACACGGUCCAGACUCCUACGGGAGGCAGCAGUGGGGAAUAUUGGACAAUGGGCGCAAGCCUGAUCCAGCCAUGCCGCGUGUGUGAAGAAGGCCUUCGGGUUGUAAAGCACUUUCAGUGGUGAGGAAGGCCUUGUAGUUAAUAGCUGCAAGGAUUGACGUUAGCCACAGAAGAAGCACCGGCUAACUCCGUGCCAGCAGCCGCGGUAAUACGGAGGGUGCGAGCGUUAAUCGGAAUUACUGGGCGUAAAGCGCACGUAGGCGGUUUGUUAAGCAAGAUGUGAAAGCCCAGGGCUCAACCUUGGAAUUGCAUUUUGAACUGGCAAGCUAGAGUUUUGAAGAGGGUGGUAGAAUUUCCAGUGUAGCGGUGAAAUGCGUAGAUAUUGGAAGGAAUACCAGUGGCGAAGGCGGCCACCUGGUCAAAAACUGACGCUGAGGAGCGAAAGCGUGGGGAGCAAACAGGAUUAGAUACCCUGGUAGUCCACGCCGUAAACGAUGUCAACUAGUUGUUCGUGUCUUUGAGACGUGAGUAACGCAGCUAACGCACUAAGUUGACCGCCUGGGGAGUACGGCCGCAAGGUUAAAACUCAAAUGAAUUGACGGGGGCCCGCACAAGCGGUGGAGCAUGUGGUUUAAUUCGAUGCAACGCGAAGAACCUUACCAUCCCUUGACAUCCAGAGAAUUUUCUAGAGAUAGAUUAGUGCCUUCGGGAGCUCUGAGACAGGCGCUGCAUGGCUGUCGUCAGCUCGUGUUGUGAGAUGUUGGGUUAAGUCCCGCAACGAGCGCAACCCUUAUCCUUAGUUGCCAGCACGUAAUGGUGGGAACUCUAGGGAGACUGCCGGUGAUAAACCGGAGGAAGGUGGGGACGACGUCAAGUCAUCAUGGCCCUUACGGGAUGGGCUACACACGUGCUACAAUGGCGCGCACAAAGGGCAGCAAGCAUGCGAAUGCAAGCGAAUCUCAAAAAGCGCGUCGUAGUCCGGAUUGGAGUCUGCAACUCGACUCCAUGAAGUCGGAAUCGCUAGUAAUCGUGGAUCAGAAUGCCACGGUGAAUACGUUCCCGGGCCUUGUACACACCGCCCGUCACACCAUGGGAGUGGGCUGCACCAGAAGUAGAUAGCUUAACCCUCGGGAGAGCGUUUACCACG
rnacentral:rRNA from 1 species